rnacentral:rRNA from 1 species
GACGAACGCUGGCGGCGUGCUUAACACAUGCAAGUCGAACGGAAAGGCCCUGCUUUUGUGGGGUGCUCGAGUGGCGAACGGGUGAGUAACACGUGAGUAACCUGCCCUUGACUUUGGGAUAACUUCAGGAAACUGGGGCUAAUACCGGAUAGGAGCUCCUGCUGCAUGGGGGGGGUUGGAAAGUUUCGGCGGUUGGGGAUGGACUCGCGGCUUAUCAGCUUGUUGGUGGGGUAGUGGCUUACCAAGGCUUUGACGGGUAGCCGGCCUGAGAGGGUGACCGGCCACAUUGGGACUGCGAUACGGCCCAGACUCCUACGGGAGGCAGCAGUGGGGAAUAUUGCACAAUGGGCGGAAGCCUGAUGCAGCAACGCCGCGUGCGGGAUGACGGCCUUCGGGUUGUAUACCGCUUUCGCCUGUGACGAAGCGUGAGUGACGGUAAUGGGUAAAGAAGCACCGGCUAACUACGUG